CGUAGGGGGCAAGCGUUGUCCGGAUUUACUGGGCGUAAAGCGCGCGUAGGCGGACCCUUAAGUGUGGCUUGAAAGCCCCCGGCUCAACCGGGGAAGGCGGCUGCAAACUGGGGGUCUUGAGGGCGUGAGAGGAGCGUGGAAUUCCUGGUGUAGCGGUGAAAUGCGUAGAGAUCAGGAGGAACACCCGUGGCGAAGGCGGCGCUCUGGCGCGGCCCUGACGCUGAAGCGCGAAAGCGUGGGGAGCGAACGGGAUUAGAUACCCCGGUAGUCCACGCCGUAAACGAUGGUCACCAGGUGUGCGCGGUAUCGACCCCGCGCGUGCCGGCGCAAACGCAUUCAGUGACCCGCCUGGGGAGUACGGCCGCAAGGUUG
rnacentral:rRNA from 1 species